rnacentral:rRNA from 1 species
UACGUAGGGUGCAAGCGUUGUCCGGAAUUAUUGGGCGUAAAGAGCUUGUAGGCGGUUUGUCGCGUCUGCUGUGAAAUUUCGGGGCUCAACCCCGAACUUGCAGUGGGUACGGGCAGACUAGAGUGUGGUAGGGGAGACUGGAAUUCCUGGUGUAGCGGUGAAAUGCGCAGAUAUCAGGAGGAACACCGAUGGCGAAGGCAGGUCCCUGGGCAUUAACUGACGCUGAGGAGCGAAAGCAUGGGGAGCGAACAGG